GGAUGCGAGGUGGAGAAGGAGGCGGCUUGCGGUGUUUGGUGCGGUGCGCCGAAGUUUUGUAAAAUUUGCUUCGUUGUUUGAAAAUCCAACCGGCAGGUCCACUGCAAUGUCUGUCAAACACAGCGGCUCUUUAGUCUACCGGAUAAUCGCGAGCUGACGUUUGGAUUACUGCUCCUGCUGCGUUAUUGUAGGUCGACAAAUCAAUUCAUCCGAUCAGUCAGCUCGGGAUUCAUUUUCUGUGGACUUCAAGAUUAUUCCUCGAGUUGUUUCUUAUUUUGGAAAGUCAUUUUAGCGUUUGGACUUGUCACGAGCAACCGGUGCAGCAAGUAGUCAUACAGUGUACUGCACGCGCAGACUGGAGACGCACACGUGUAUCCUCCGUCCACCGGCUGCGGGCGCAUCGAUCCUUCAGCCCUUUGGAUAAAAGUUUUUUUUUUCUGUUUGGGAUUUCCUUUAAAACAGGAAGAAAAAGAGCCAGUCGACAUGUCGCUAAGCAGAAGUAUUGAGUUUGAACACUUUGAGGAACGAGAGAAGGCGCAUCGGACACCGAGGACUAACUCGGGAUCCGGUUCCCAGCCAGGCUCCAGAGGCAACGGUCUGGUCCCCAGUCCGGCUCACAGUGCGCACUGUAGUUUCUACCGCACACGCACUCUCCAGUCCCUCACGUCCGAGAAAAAAGCCAGAAAAGUGCGGUUUUAUCGCAAUGGAGACAGGUAUUUUAAAGGUUUGGUGUAUGCCAUAUCUAGCGACCGGUUCAGGUCUCUGGAUGCUCUGCUCAUGGAGCUCACAAGGUCCCUGUCGGACAAUGUCAACCUUCCUCAAGGAGUCCGGACGUUAUACGCGUUGGAUGGAGGCAGGAGGAUCACUAGUCUGGAUGACUUAGUAGAGGGUGAGAGUUAUGUGUGUGCCUCAAAUGAAUCCUUCCGACGGGUGGACUACAACAAGAACGUCAACCCCAACUGGGCAGUGGGCUGCAAGACCGGCACAUCACGCUCCCUCUCCUCUCUCAUCCCGCUGAAGAGCGAGCUGCAGCGUGAGUUCAAAGACUUUAUCAAACCCAAACUAGUCACAGUCAUCCGCAGCGGUGUCAAACCCCGCAAAGCGGUACGGAUACUGCUCAACAAGAAGACGGCACACUCCUUCGAGCAGGUGCUCACUGACAUCACGGACGCAAUCAAGUUGGACUCUGGAGCUGUGAGGAGACUGUACACUUUGGAGGGCAAGCAGAUUAUCUGCCUGCAGGACUUCUUCGGGGACGACGAUGUGUUUAUAGCGUGCGGCCCCGAGAAGCACCGCUAUGCACAGGACGACUUUGUUUUGGAUCACAGUGGUAAGGCUUCCACAGCCUUUGUGACUGAAUGCAGAGUGCUAAAGACGUCGCACAGCCGCUCUGCUACUCCAAACCGGACAGCUAGGAGCCCCGGGUCUUCACGACGCAGCAAGUCUCCUGGUGCAGCAAGGCAACCUGUCCACUACUCCACCAGCCAGUCUCCAAUCAAAUCUCCAGUCAACGGUGUCUCCAUCAGCCAGAUCUCCACCAAGUCCUCCACUCCGUCUCCCACCAGCCCCCGAUCCAUCCCCAGUUUUAAGAUCCCUCCAGCUCAUCACAUCUCGUCUUCAAAUGUCAACGGCUUGUUGAACAACCAACAGGAGCAAAGCAAUCAGCUGAGUUCAGAGGCAGUUAAUGGGAACCGCUACCUGCCCGCCUCCACCAUCUCGGAAAAAUACAAGAUCGGGAAGGUCAUCGGAGAUGGGAACUUCGCUGUGGUCAAAGAGUGUGUGGAGAGGUCCACAGGAAAAGAGUUUGCACUGAAGAUCAUCGACAAGGCCAAGUGCACUGGAAAGGAGCACCUCAUAGAAAAUGAGGUCGCAGUGUUGCGGAGGGUGAAACACCCCAACAUCAUCAUGUUGAUCGAGGAGGUGGACACACUCUCUGAACUCUACCUGGUCAUGGAGCUCGUCAAGGGAGGGGAUUUAUUCGAUGCCAUAACCUCCUCGGCCAAAUACACAGAGAGAGACGCCAUUGUGAUGGUGUACAAUCUCGCCGGAGCUCUGAAGUACCUGCACAGCACAAACAUCGUCCACAGAGACAUUAAACCAGAGAACUUGCUGGUGUUUGAGUAUCCAGAUGGCACCAAGUCAUUGAAACUGGGAGACUUUGGCUUGGCCACAGUGGUGGAAGGACCUUUAUAUACCGUAUGUGGAACUCCUACAUAUGUGGCUCCAGAGAUCAUCUCCGAGUCUGGUUAUGGUCUGAAGGUGGAUAUCUGGGCUGCAGGUGUCAUCACCUACAUCCUUCUGUGUGGAUUCCCUCCAUUCAGAAGUGAGAAUAACAUGCAAGAGGAUCUGUUUGACCAGAUCCUUCUGGGGCGACUGGACUUUCCCAGUCCUUACUGGGACAACAUCACUGACUCAGCAAAGGAGCUGAUUGGGAAGAUGCUGCAGGUCAACGCUGAGGCUCGAUACACAGCACAGGACAUCCUCUCCCACCCUUGGGUCACGGACGACGCAGUCAUGGAGAACAACAUGAAGAUGGAGGUCACAGGUAAACUGAAGACGCACUUUAACACUGCGCCUAAGCUCAACAUCACAACAGCUGGAGUGUCCGUCAUCAUGGGUGGUGAAUGUCUGACCCAAAUACAGAAGAUUGCGCUCCUUCUAAUUCACGGGCCAAGAAUAUCUGACCUCAAUCAUCGUCCAAGAAGACAUUAAAGACAACUUAUGCUGCUGUAAACAUGUCAGACAGGAUUUUAGAGAUGGAAUGAUGGAAAAACGUGGACAGGGCAGAAGAAGUCAUUCCUGUAGCACACAUCCUUCCUGUCUGUCUGUCUCAAGCCUCACUCAUUUCCUGUUGUACAGUUUGACUUCCUCCACUCUUCAUGUCAUCAGGUCACACUCCCCAUCAGCCCUCUCUCUUCAGUCUGUCUGUCUGUCUGAACUGAAAGCAGGAAUUGGGGGAAGGGAAAAGUGUCUAAUUAGAAAUUUGAUUUGAUCUUUGCUGCAAAGAGCCUCAUUCCUUGUUGUAAAUCUCAUUUGACAGUUUGAGGUGUAAACACGGGCCCUGGCCUCGGCCCCUCCUCCUCCUCCUCCUCCUCUCCAUCCUCUUCCUCCUCCCUCCUCCUCACCCUUCCCUCACACCCGACCCAGGACCAAAGGGGACGCCUGGAGCUGAGAGCCGGUGCACAGCUCUAGAUAAGAAGACCCUCCAGCUCACCACUCGUCGUCGUCGUCCGCGACCCCAAACUGUGCCAUGUCCACCAUCGUCUGCUGGCAAACAAGUCCCAUCUGCCCUUCCAGUCGAACCAGCCUCGCCAAC